GACGCCGAAGGUGGGGCUGAUGACUGGGGUGAAGUCGUAACAAGGUAGCCGUACCGGAAGGUGCGGCUGGAUCACCUCCUAACAGGGAGACAAAAACUGAUUAUAUUGUCUAAAUUAUUUAUUUUAGGCUGUAAUCCUGUCACCUUAGGUCGAUCGGUACCUCAGAUUAAUAACUACAAUUUGAUGAUUUUUUGUCUGUUUUGGUUUUAAUUUCAGUUCCUAAACUUGUCUAGGUCACACCCAACAAACUUUCUCCUGGGCUAUUAGCUCAGGCGGUUAGAGCGCACCCCUGAUAAGGGUGAGGUCCCUGGUUCAAGUCCAGGAUGGCCCAUUCGUUGUUGGGGGUAUAGCUCAGUUGGUAGAGCGCCUGCUUUGCAAGCAGGAUGUCAGCGGUUCGAGUCCGCUUACCUCCACUGAUCAACUGCCUGAUAACUCAUUUUGGAGAUUGUCAUUUGUUUCUGUGAUUUAGAUGUUGUUCAACUGAAUGAACCUAGCUUCAUAUCAAUCCUUUAUUAAAUUCAGGUUGAUAAGACGCUGGGCUCAAGGAUAUUCCAAAGAGUAUCUAUUGAUUCAGCAGAACCUUGACAACUGCAUAGGAAAAGUCUGGAAAAAAUAAAGCAUCUCAUAGAUGCAUAAAAUUAAUUUUUCAGUUAUUUGAAGAGUUAAUUUUGUGAUUAAUUCUUGAGUUAGAGCAAAAUUCCUAGAACUUCAUCAAGAAGUUGAUAGGAAUUAAUUGGUCAAGCUACAA
rnacentral:misc_RNA from 1 species